ensembl:lincRNA
GGGAUGGGUUGAGCACCUCUUCAUACUAGCUCAUUCUUGCUGAUGCCAUCUUGCCAUUGUUGGUCUAUGAUGGUUUUUGUUGGUGGCACCAUGAAACUAUUCAAGACACCAGAUAUUAUUUCUUUCAUUGGUUGAAGAAGCUAUGUCUCCACCUGCAUAGAAGAUUUCUUAGAGUCAAAGUUGCAUUUGCCACACAGAACGGCUGUUGUUUCUCCCAUCUUUCUUAUCAGACCAAAAUACAUGUUUCAGAGUCACAAGAAGAAAUGGUGAUGCCUGAC